GCGCGCGCGCGAGGGGAGCACGAGGCGCUCGCCCCCGGGGCGGGGGCUGAGCCUGAGGGGAGCGCUGAGGGAAGCCUUGAAACUCCUGGUUGUGACAUCUGCUGUGGUACAACAGCAGCUUCAGAUGUAGCUGCAACCCACAGAACAAUACACCAUGACGCUCAUCUCCAGAACACAGAAUCAAAAGAUUAAGAGAAAGCAGUUUUCAGGAAUCAUCACUAUUCUGCAACAACACAGAAAAAUCAUAGCAAAUAGGUAAACAGGAUCAUCUUCAUCUUAAAUCCUGUCUGCUCUUCUUCAGCCACACAAAUACAAUCAGCUAAGCUUCUGGUGCAAAAAGUAAAACAGCCAUAAGAAGCUCACCUAAUAAAGAUGUUGCUGUUGACUUUCACAAAGAAAUUACUGCUUACUGUUACAGCAGAGUUCACAAAGAACUCAAGAUAAGCCACAAUAUGCUCCACUAAUUUAGCUGCCAGUUCCAAAGUCUCUUUCAAGGAAGAAGGCAUUGCUUUCUAGAGCUUCUCUGAGUUUCACAGCUGAUCAGCUCUGGCUGGGAAAAUCCCAGUAUGAUUUUGUCCUACAGUAAUACAGUAUGCCAGAUUCAGACAUUUUUCUCCAAGUUCCUGUGCUGUUUGGCUCACAUACAACACUCCUGAAUUUCUUAUGCCCUUCAACAUGCUUCCUAUACUUACUACUCACCAUGAUUGAUAAAUGCAGCAGGACCAAGCCACAGUUGUGCACAGUUUUUUCUUGUGGAAUACAUGACGCUGAAGUCAUUUUCCCCAUGUCUCAGCAGCAUGUUUUCUUCCAUUUCUGAUAGUUCAGCAAUACAGCCCACAAGUAAUUCUAUUUUAUCAUUUCGUUUCCUUUAAUAUAAAAAGAGCAGCAGAAAUAAGACUACAUGUGCCAAAAUUACAAAAUAAUUUCACAGAAAGAAAAGCUAUUAUAGAAUCAAUGACAUCAAAUCUGGCGUCAGAAACAAUUACCACCAUUGUUUCUACAACUUCCUGAGACUGCAGGCAAGAAAUUGCAAGAGUUGAUUACUUCAGCUUCUGCAAUUGUGAAAACCAAAAGCAAGAUCUUUUCAUACUCCCUCCCCAUCACUACUUGAGAAAUUUUGACUUCCUCCAGCUGCUUUUGCUUGUGUUUCCUAAACUUCUUCCUGUGGCCAGGAAAACCCAGCAUAAUGAAAAUGCUUAGAGCUCCAUGGCUUUUCAAAUGAGGCCCAGUAAUGAUGCAAACAAAGACUGGAAUUCAAGCAAGAUGUUUUCCUCUCUCAUGAGUAGUUCUUCAGCAUGAAGCUGGUCCUUGAAAUAGAGUGAGGAGGGGAAGUGACACCUACAAAAAUCAACAAAACCACAAAGCCUCUGUGUGCAGACAGCCAACAUGCCAUCAUGACUAGAGCAGUGCAGGGGCACUGAAUGCUCAGCUGUAGAAGCAGAGUUUCCAUUUUCUUGCAUGGGCGUUGCUUCCACUGCUCUUCAGAGUGGCCAUGCCACAUUUUGGCCAGAUUACUCUGACAGAGAUGAACGUGGUUUAGUGGAAACACUAAAGGUACAUGAAGGACACAAACUAGAAGUGAAGCCUUUUAAGUGCAAAUUUCUCCUUUGACAGAGAGGGCUGAGAACUCUAAUCAGUUUUGAGUCUUGACAGGUUUCCAGAUAUCAGUAGGGUAAGAUGCAGCCCUCCUGUCUUGUUCACAUCUCAGGCUACUCUAGAUUUUGAGCAUGAAAAGUUAAUCUGUUUUCAACACAUCUACAUACAAAGCUUCUACUCCAAAGAAUCAGCCAAGGGGUAAAUUCAAACACCACCAC